AUACGGAGGGUGCAAGCGUUAUUCGGAAUCACUGGGCGUAAAGGGUGCGUAGGCGGUUUGAUAAGUCUGAUGUGAAAUCCUAUGGCUCAACCAUAGAACUGCAUUGGAAACUGUCAGACUAGUAUACUGAAGGGGCAGAUGGAAUUAGUGGUGUAGGGGUAAAAUCCGUAGAUAUCACUAGGAAUACCGAAAGCGAAAGCGAUCUGCUGGGAAGUUAUUGACGCUGAGGCACGAAAGCGUGGGGAGCAAACGGGAUUAGAAACCCUAGUAGUCC
rnacentral:rRNA from 1 species